rnacentral:rRNA from 1 species
UACGUAGGCAGCAAGCGUUGUUCGGAAUUACUGGGCGUAAAGGGUGCGUAGGCGGCUUUUUAAGUUUGGUGUGAAAUCUCCCGGCUCAACCGGGAGGGUGCGCCGAAUACUGAGAAGCUAGAGUGUGGGAGAGGAAAGUGGAAUUCCUGGUGUAGCGGUGAAAUGCGCAGAUAUCAGGAGGAACACCGGUGGCGAAGGCGGAUCUCUGGGCCAUUACUGACGCUGAGGAGCGAAAGCGUGGGGAGCGAACAGG